AUGUGCUUGAAGUUGGGAGCGAAGGCCGACGGUCACGGCGCGAGGCAGAGCCCCAGCCCCGCACCAUGCAGCCCCACAGCCCCACAGCCCUGGGAAACCCGGCCCGUGACCGCCCCCGGGCCUGGGAGCGGCACUGCGGGAGCCCCUGGGCACCGAUGCAGACACCGGGACGCUCUUCCUCCCCAAGUGGUCCAGGCUCUGCUGAAACGGGGAAGCCGUCCCUGGGAAGUCACCCACUCCGGCAGGUUCCCAAAGCUCUCCAGCUCUGCUGACGAUAAGCAUCGUUUAAUGGGACGCAGCAUGAACUCUGCAGCCGGUGCGAGAAAGCCCAUCUGGGGGACAGGGUUGGCUGGGCACAAACCCAGCCCCUCAGCACCGCCCCGCACCGCUCACAUCCCGAAGAUGCUCGGAGGGGGUGAGAGGCCGAGGCCCCGCACUGAGCUUCUGCAUCUGGCCCGGUGCAAUGCGCGGACACUGCCGAGCAGAGCUGGGAUGGUCGGUGGCCGUCCCCUCCUCCCCACCUCGCCGGCCCUGGCACGCUCAGAAAUCCCCAUUUCCCACCGGCUGCUAAGCGCCAGGCCCCGGCGAGCUUUCGGGCUGCCUCCUGGCAAGGUGCUCAGACCAAGGCGAGCUGCCCGUCCCUUCCGGAGGGCUCUGCCUGCGCUGUCCCCGUGUCGCCGGUUACCCAAACAUCCACAGCCGGCAGAGCAGCCCACGGUAACUCACCCCCCAGUGCCGCAGGAGGAUUUUAGGAAGCUUGGCGAGAGCAGGGAGCUCCCAUCGAGCUGGCGGCGGCGGCCCCGGCAGGGCUGGGAGGCUCCUGGCGAAACGUGGAGGGCACGGCCGGCGUCCCCAUCCUCGAUGCCCACCAGGCUCGCCCCAGGCCACUGGGGACGGGCACGGUGGCAGCGAGGAGACGCCGGGAGCCUUUCUCCUGCCUCGCCUCCUGCCCUCGGCGGCUCUGCUCACCUCCAUCUCCCGUCGGGAACCAGCAGGACCCGCUCCUCCCUCGGCCGGGCAGGUGAGGUUACCGGGGCAGAGCCGUCAUUUCGGGCCCCACCUGCUUAA
rnacentral:lncRNA from 1 species